GCGGAGGCUACGGGGGUAAAGGAGCGUUCAGAAUGCCGGUGGCAGCUGCCCUCCGGCAUUCUGAACGCUCCUUUACGCAGGGUGAUUGGGGCUGGUGAG
ensembl:miRNA gga-mir-6648-1 gga-mir-6648-1